UACAGAGGUCUCAAGCGUUGUUCGGAUUCAUUGGGCGUAAAGGGUGCGUAGGCGGCGCGGUAAGUCGGGUGUGAAAUCCCUUGGCUUAACCAAGGAAGUGCAUUCGAUACUGUUUCGCUUGAGUAUCGGAGGGGUCGGCGGAAUUCCCGGUGUAGAGGUGAAAUUCGUAGAUAUCGGGAGGAACACCUGUGGCGAAGGCGGCCGACUGGACGAUCACUGACACUGAGACGCGAAAGCGUGGGUAGCAAACAGG
rnacentral:rRNA from 1 species